GGGGGUAUAGCUCAGUGGUGGAGUGCAUGAUUAGCAUGCAUGAAGUCCUGGGUUCAAUCUCCAGUAUCUCCA
rnacentral:tRNA from 1 species